UACGUAGGGGGCAAGCGUUGUCCGGAUUUAUUGGGCGUAAAGAGCGUGUAGGCGGUUUGGUAGGUCCGUUGUGAAAACUCGAGGCUCAACCUCGAGACGCCGAUGGAAACCAUCAGACUAGAGUCCGGAAGAGGAGAGUGGAAUUCCUGGUGUAGCGGUGAAAUGCGCAGAUAUCAGGAAGAACACCCGUGGCUAAGGCGGCUCUCUAGUACGGUACUGACGCUGAGACGCGAAAGCGUGGGGGAGCGAACAGG
rnacentral:rRNA from 1 species